CAUUAGCUAAUUGCCAAGGCCUGGGUCACGGGCCCAUUUCUGGAGUGAGGAGUGAGAUGCUGUUACCAGGAUGAAGGGCAGUAGAUGCCGAUCGGGAAAAAAUGCCCUCAGUUACAUUCUGCUUAUUCAUCUUCAUUUAUUCAUUCAUUUUGCAGGAUCAGACUGCGGACUUGUGUGCUAGAAGCCGGGAUAAGACCCUGGACAACUUCUACUUGUCCUUCAUAACGCAGCUCAAGACUCAUCGGCUCCGUGGUGAAUUCCCUCACUGCUGCCCCCUCAGCAGAGGACCAGGAGUAACACACUUGUGGUCUUGAGACUGCACAUAGGAAACAUGCAGCAGGAAGUCUUCUCCAGCAUCAGCAAACUGGAUGAGAACUUUCCUGUAAGGCCCCCGUGGUUCCUCUGCUACACCCCUGGUUUGCCUCCUUCUCGUCUGAGUCCUGCAGCUCCCAGAGUCUGUUCCACACCCUCACUCCAUCCUGGAGAACCUGCAUGGCCAGAAGGUGGGAGGGAAUGGAAGGCAGGGAGCUGUGGUCCAAUGCAUGUGGUCCAUCUUCCCUGGCUGGGCUCCCACUUGUACACUGAGGCUCUCGCAGGCAGGCCAACUCCUAAAGACUAAGAAGGAGGCUGGGCUCAAGAACUUGUGGGUCCAGAUCUUCACA